GGAGCGCCACCAUUACAAAAAGUAGGCUCCUAAUUCCUAAUCCCACCCCGACAGAACACACAACAGAGAAGAACAUCGCAAUCGCCGUAGUGGGCACCGACCGGCCCAUCGAGUGGCCCACAGCGUGCGACGAAAGAGAGAGAGAUAAAAGAAAACCGUGGUGUGCUAAUAGAAGAUGUGGGUGUGGAUAGAAAAGAAAGUAAAAUGGAGCCAAAUGGAAGUCACUACCAUACUAUAAUGCCGAGCCUGAGCCGCCCUCUGUAGGCUGUAUUGUAUUCCCAGUUUGAUCAACGUGCGACCCACUUCGCCAAAAAGCUACCUCUUCAAAACCCUCUUUAUACAACUUUCCAGUUACAGUGGAGGCAAGGAAGCAAUAUCACAGCAAGAAGGGGAAGCAUCAGAAGCAAAAGGGUGCUGGAAAUGGCAGUGCUUCAGCACCAGCUCCAUUUCCUGAUUACAAUCAAACUCAGUCCACCAUUUUCAACAUCUUGUCGUUUGGAGCAAAGGGAAAUGGAGUUUCUGAUGAUUCCAAGGCACUUAUAUCAGCAUGGAAAGCUGCAUGCCAGAUUCCUGGAGCUACGUUGCAGAUCCCAUCAGAAUACAGGUUUCUAAUCAAACCCAUAACUCUAAAUGGCCCUUGUAUGCCUCAGCUAGUUCUUCAGAUUGAUGGAGCUGUGUUGGCGCCUCCAAAAGUAAGUUCGUGGCCAAAAUCCAGCUUGUUUCAAUGGCUGAAUUUCAAAUGGCUACAUAACUUCACCAUUCAAGGCUCUGGUACUGUGGAUGGCCAGGGCUUUAAUUGGUGGACACUCUCCGGAUUCUAUAAUAACAAA